CCUACGGGACGCAGCAGUGAGGAAUAUUGGUCAAUGGGCGCGAGCCUGAACCAGCCAAGUCGCGUGAGGGAUGAAGGAUCUAUGGUUCGUAAACCUCUUUUAUAAGGGAAUAAAGUGCGGGACGCGUCCCGCUUCGCAUGUACCUUAUGAAUAAGGAUCGGCUAACUCCGUGCCAGCAGCCGCGGUAAUACGGAGGAUCCGAGCGUUAUCCGGAUUUAUUGGGUUUAAAGGGUGCGUAGGCGGCCUUUUAAGUCAGCGGUGAAAGUCUGUGGCUCAACCAUAGAAUUGCCGUUGAAACUGGGGGG
rnacentral:rRNA from 1 species